rnacentral:lncRNA from 1 species
CUUUUGUUGUUGUUGUUGUUGCUAUUUCUUGGGCCGCUCCCGCGACAUAUGGAGGUUCCCAGGCUAGGGGUUGAAUCAGAGCUGUAGCCACCGGCCUACGCCAGAGCCACAGCAACGCGGGAUCCGAGCCGCGUCUGCAACCUACACCACAGCUCAUGGCAACGCCGGAUCCUUAACCCACUGAGCAAGGGCAGGGACCGAACCCGAAACCUCAUGGUUCCUAGUCGGAUUCGUUAACCACUGCGCCACACGGGAACUCCAAGACUGAAAGCGCUUUGAGCAGAGGAGCCUUAUAUUUCUUUUGAAAGCUCUAGGGCCUGGUAGGCUUUCAGACCAUGCUUAUUGCUCUGCUGAACUCAGUGGGUCCAGCUGCCCACAGUCACUUGGGGUCUCUAAAAAGCUUCUCACACCUGGAUCCAGCCUCGGAUCACUUACAUCUGAAUCUCUGGGGCUGGGGUCUGGCCACUUGGGCCUCUUGAUUCUGGCUAAAUACUCUGAUUCUUCACCAAAUAGUAGCCCUUUUUCCCUCUUCCUGCUUCUUGGCACUGGGAGGUGCUAUUGGAUAGUCUAUGAAGUAAUAGUCGCCUCAACCCAAGAAAGGCAUUUCUUUUUGUUUUGAAAUUUGUAUAUCUCCUCUUGAACUUGGAGAACUUGGGAGAUGGACCUGAACUGGCCUUAUCUGUGGCUCUUUUGAAUGCUAACCAUUGAUGGUUAAGCAAGCAGAUGUAUGAAGUUUCUGAUACUCAGAUUUUCAGACUAUCAUGUGACCCCAUGUGUCAAAAGGAAAAGUCAGCAGGGGCAAGAGUCCUGAUAAAAGAAUGUAGGUACUCAAUGAGAGCUCUCUUUCACUGUCUUAGCCACGCCUGGGUUUCUUUCUUUUUUUUUUUUUUAAUUAUUUUUUUUGGUCUUUUUGCUAUUUCUUGGGCCGCUCCUGCGGCAUAUGGAGGUUCCCAGGCUAGGGGUCGAAUCGGAGCUGUAGCCUAUGCCAGAGCCACAGCAACGCUGGAUCCGAGCAGCGUCUGCAACCUACACCACAGCUCACGGCAACGCCGGAUUGUUAACCCACUGAGCAAGGGCAGGGACCGAACCCGCAACCUCAUGGUUCCUAGUCAGAUUCGUUAACCACUGCGCCACGACGGGAACUCCCACGCCAGGGUUUCUUACUUUGGAAACUUACUAGGUCUAGAGCUGCAGCAGCCAUCUUGGGACCAUGAGGUGAAAGUCCCCAUCCAUCCGUAGGACUAGAAAUCAUUGUUAGGUCAGCCCAAUGCAUUCUAACUGUUAUAGUUCAUCUUCUAAGAUGUGACCCUAAUUGCUCUUUCAGGAGCUGCACAAUUUCCUCCAGAGAGUCACAUAAAAUCAAUAAAUAUUUAUUGACUACCCA